rnacentral:rRNA from 1 species
AUAACGGUCCUAAGGUAGCGAAAUUCCUUGUCGGGUAAGUUCCGACCCGCACGAAUGGUGUAACGAUCUGGGCACUGUCUCAACUACCCACCCGGCGAAAUUGUAGUACCGGUGAAGAUGCCGGUUACCUGCGGCAAGACGGAAAGACCCCAUGGAGCUUUACUGUAGCCUGAUAUUGGGUUUCGGAAAUCUAUGUACAGGAUAGGCGGGAGACUUGGAAACAUGAGCGUCAGCUUGUGUGGAGUCGAUGUUGGGAUACCGCCCUUAGGUUUCUGGAAUUCUAACCUGCGGCCGUGAAUCCGGUCGGGGGACAUUGUCAGGUGGGCAGUUUGACUGGGGCGGUCGCCUCCGAAAAGGUAACGGAGGCGCUCAAAGGUUAGCUCAGCACGGACGGAAACCGUGCCUCUGAGUGUAAACGCAAAAGCUAGCCUAACUGCGAGGGUGACGGCCCGAGCAGUAACGAAAGUUGGAGUUAGUGAUCCGGCGGUAUGUGAAUGGAAAUGCCGUCGCUCAACGGAUAAAAGCUACCCUGGGGAUAACAGGCUGAUCUCCCCCAAGAGUCCACAUCGACGGGGAGGUUUGGCACCUCGAUGUCGGCUCAUCACAUCCUGGGGCUGUAUUCGGUCCCAAGGGUUCGGCUGUUCGCCGAUUAAAGUGGUACGCGAGCUGGGUUCAGAACGUCGCGAGACAGUUCGGUCCCUAUCUGUCGUGGGCGCAGGAUAUUUGAGGAGCUCUGUCCUUAGUACGAGAGGACCGGGAUGGACGUACCUCUGGUGCACCAGUUGUCAUGCCAAUGGCACGGCUGGGCAGCUAUGUACGGAACGGAUAAACGCUGAAAGCAUCUAAGCGUGAAGCCGACUCCAAGAUUAGAUAUCCCAUCGUAUAACGAGUAAGACCCCUUGAAGACUACGAGGUUGAUAGGCUGCGUGUGUAAGUGCCGUGAGGCAUUCAGCUUGGCAGUACUAAUAGGUCGAGGGCUUGACCAC